GAGCAUAAUACCCCAUAGACCACUACGCCUGGAACGGUGAGUGGUUCAAAGCUUCGGCGGUGUAGGAUGGGUCUGCGGCGUAUCAGGUCGUAGGGGGUGUAAUGGACCUCCUAGCCAUCGACGCGUACGGGUUGUGGGAGCAAUAGCCCGGAGACGGAUUCUGAGACACGAAUCCGGACCCUACGGGGUGCAGCAGGCGCGAAAACUUCACACUGCAGGAAACUGUGAUGAGGGAACUCCAAGUGACUGCACAAUGUGUAGCCUUUUCAUGAAUCUUAAUAGUUCUUGGAAUAAGGGCUGGGAAAGACCGGUGCCAGCCGCCGCGGUAAUACCGGCAGCUCAAGUGGUCGUCGCUUUUAUUGGGCCUAAAACGUCCGUAGCCUGUUUGGUAAAUCUGUGGGUAAAUCAACGAGCUUAACUCGUUGAAUUCUGCAGAGACUGCCAGACUAGGGACCGGGAGAGGUAUGAGGUACUCUGGGGGUAGGGGUAAAAUCCUGUCAUCCCCAGAGGACCACCUGUUGCGAAGGCGUCAUACUGGAACGGAUCCGACGGUCAGGGACGAAGCCUAGGGGCACGAACCGGAUUAGAUACCCGGGUAGUCCUAGGUGUAAACGCUGUGGAU
rnacentral:rRNA from 1 species